ensembl:lncRNA
CCCUAUACAUUCGGCCUAUGGGCACUAGUCAAAAGUAGUGCACUAUAAAGAGAAUAGGGAAGUCAUUUGGGAUGCUGAUUAAGCCUCACAUUGGGGACAGAUUGAUUAAAAAAUGUGUUUAAUACAGUAAUGCACAGUUACUGCACACACACACACACACACACACACACACACACACACACCCUACUCCAGGGAAUUGACAGAUGGCCAUUAGUAGUAAUUGGUAGAACUGACUGAAUGAAGUAAUAGAAUAAGCAGGAUAGACAGGAGACAGGGGGAGAGCAGGAGAGAAAGGAGGUAGGGAGGGAGACAGGAGAGAGCAGGAGAGAAAGGAGGUAGGGAGGAGAGAGAGACAGGAGAGAAAGGAGGUAGGGAGGGAGUCUGGAGAGACAGGAGAGAAAGGAGGUAGGGAGAGAGACAGGAGAGAAAGGAGGUAGGGAGAGAAAGGAGGGAGAAAGGAGGUAGGGAGGGAGUCUGGGGAGGGGAG